UGUCGGCGUGCGGCCUGGCCUCCCUGUUAAAGGUGUGUCGGUUAUACUGGGUAACGACUUGGCUGGGGGAAAGGUGUCGUCAGACCCCGAGUGAGUGAUGUGAAGCCAGUGGUGCUGUCCAGGGCUGAAAUGAAUGACCCCAAUCUCCAAACCUCACCUGUUCCUUUGAAUGAAGGAGUCGCUCUCCAAAGGCUGCAGUGCACAGGCGUGUGUGCUGGUCGGUUCCAGGUGCAAAUUGCCAAAUUUCCUCCCCCAUAAAAGAUGGUGAUAUCGGGACAGCACUCUCUCUCGAUCUCUCUCUCAUUGUUCUUGUAGAGACGCUACAAGCUGCGACUACUGUGUCUUGUUAUUUCGUUUAACAGUCAACAUUGUUCUUUGUCAAAAUAUCACGUUGUAUACUUCAUAGACCAUGUGGUAAGGUUUUCUUUUCUUUUGCACCUUUUUGUUCUAGUCAGUCAGUGUAGGGUAGCAGCGGACCAGAAGACUCACUUUCUCCCCUUUAAUUUCUUCUUUGUCUCGUCCCAUCCUCGACGGUAGUGAGGGCAGAAGUUAUGUUCCAUUUAGACAGUGAGUGUUAGGUUAGAUCUGCUGGUUCUGUCCUGUCUACCUGUUUGUAUGUGGGUUUUUGUAUUGUAUUGGGUUAUUGGGUUUGUAAUAAAUAUAUACUUUGUA